UGGGAUUAUAGGCAUGAGCCAUCAUGCCCAGACUAUUUAAUGUAUCUUACUAAAACUAUUUUCAUUUUGAAGAUUUGUGGUAGAAUGAACAAAAGCCAUUUGCCAGUAGCACAUGGUAAAGUUUGAGUUACUGCUUAAAACAAAUUGUUUUAAAAGGAUAUUUCUAUGUUUUACUCUUAGUGUGGCCUAUUGAUUUUGCUUUACCAAAACUCUAAGAAAACAAAACGAAAGAUCGUAAUCAUAAAGAUCUGUCCUGCAGUGUUGCUUUUUAGGUUUUUGAAACCAGAUAACCUCUUGAUUCUUGAUUCUUGAUUCUUACUGUUUACUCUGUCAGAAUGUGAACAUGAAGGUAUUUUUAGAAAUAGUCUUUAUUUCACAAUGUAUUCACUGAAACUUGUGGCUGUUUGGAGAAAGGUAUUACAAAACCUGAAUAAAACAAAAGUAGUAGUUUAACAAGAAUGCAUGUAGAAAGUUCUUAGACUGUACAUGCUUAUUAUAUUUAACUUUGUUAAACAUUGGAAGUUUUUGUUACUCUAGUAACAAUGUGUGUGUUUCUAUUAAAUUGAAUAAAUGUGUGUUUCUGUGA